UACGUAGGGUGCGAGCGUUAAUCGGAAUUACUGGGCGUAAAGCGUGCGCAGGCGGUUUGUUAUGUCCGAUGUGAAAGCCCCGAGCUCAACCUGGGAAUGGCAUUGGAAACUGGCGGGCUGGAGUGUGGCAGAGGGGGGUGGAAUUCCACGUGUAGCAGUGAAAUGCGUAGAGAUGUGGAGGAACACCGAUGGCGAAGGCAGCCCCCUGGGCCAACACUGACGCUCAGGCACGAAAGCGUGGGGAGCAAACAGG
rnacentral:rRNA from 1 species